UGCAACACUCGCUAGCAGCUCCCAAACUCGCUGUGCAGCUAGAAACUUAUUGAGGUUCAAACCCUUAUUGAGGUUCAAAUUGUCCUUGAUUAUUUGAUUCAUUUCGCCUAUUUUUGUUUUUAUUUCUGUUUUGUGGAGCAACAAAUCAUUGAAUUUCCAAGAAAAGAAUUGGUCCUCUGCUCUCCCAGCAAGUGCAAUCAAAUCUCUCCUGAUGUCCUGGAGUUCUUCCUUCAGUGUGGCUGUAACCUCAUGAAGCAUGUCCUUAAAGUCCGAUUUAGAAGGAGCCCGAGCUGAUGAUCCACGGAGCCUGUGGAUUAAGCUACCAUCCGGAGCGAAGGUAAGU